rnacentral:tRNA from 1 species
GGCCAGGUGGCAGAGUGGUCAUGCAGCGGACUGCAAAUCCGCGUGCGCCGAUUCGAUUCCGACCCUGACCUCCA